CAUAUACACACAUAUACAUAUAUAUAGAGAAUCCCUCAACCAAUUCUUUUCUCGCUUUGACCGCAAGAUUGUUACUGACACACAUCUGACACUACCAGGGAAGGUCAACGCCAUUCAGCUGGACCAACAUGAGGUCAGAUCCACCCUGCGUCGAGUCAACACGAGGAAAGCAGCUUGUCCAGACGGAGUCACUGGCAGGAUUCUCAAGGCCUAAGCAGACCAGCUAGCAGAGGUUUUCAUCACCAUCUCCAAUCUCUCGCUACUACAAUCUGCAGUCCCCUCCUGCCUGAAGUCUGCAACCAUCAUCCCAGUCCCAAAGAAAGGUACAGUGAACUGCCUGACUAUCGCCCAGUUGCUCUCACCUCCAUAAUCACAAAAUGUUUUGAGACUCAUCCCCUCUCACAUCAAAUCUGCCAUCUCUGCUGACCUGGACCAACACCAGAUUGCUUACCGAGCGAGCAGGUCUAUAGGGAAAGCUGUCAACACAACAAUUUACACAUUUAGAGGAUGAGUCAAUGAUGAGAGUGGAGAAGGAAGGUGUCGUAUUCUGCAUUAUAUCCCUGACUCGCCAUAUUAACAAGGCUAGUAGACUCCAUACCAGCAUUAACUGUAUCACUAGUAGGCUCUCUACACCUGUGGCCUGCCGAGUGCUACAUUCUUGACAUCAAACCUGCUUUAUAAAUAGGUGCUAGAUUAAACAGCAGUGCUGACACCAUUAGGAUGAAGGCUGUCUACUCUCAGCAUGUGGGGGUGACUGCAGAGUCUCUAGUCUCAUCAUUGUUUCAUUAAGGGACCAGAGACAAUUAACUGAUGCUGAUCUUGUUUCUAGCAGCCUGAAAAGGCUAGGCUGUAUUUUGUGAUCUCAGGCUGCUUGUGACAAAUAUCAUUGGCAUCAGCAUGAAUUACAAUGUUGCUGUAGCAUGUGGUGCUCUAUGCCUGGGUUCCGUGUUUCUCCCUGCGUGAUGUCAGCACCCUAAGAUUAGCCUCUACAGUAUGUAGAGGACACCACGGCUGAGCAGGCACAAACUCCACAGAGACUGAGGUAGUGUUAAGGUGAUCAGGGCCGGGGCUAACACCGUCUGUAGUGCCAGUGGUUCAACCUGAGAGAAGCUGCUCUAACUCACGGAUACAUCUCUCUAAUAGAGACACCCUAUCUGCAACUGCAGAACAGUCAGCACACAACACUUUGGCUUUGUUAACUGUGGUGAAAGGCAAAAAUCAGAAAGCUAUGCUAGGUCGAGCAGUACUGAAAGACUGUUACUGCUAUUACAGAAAUAAUGAUAUGGUAGACAUUAUGGUAGACAUCCUACUUGUCUGAACAAGAGCUAGAUAUUGUAACCAAAGUAAAAUGCUGAGGGCAUAUCAUCAGGAAUGACCUUAGUGAUGAUUUUGAUAUUCAGCGCCAGUGUUAUUAAUUACAUGCUCAGGCAAAUAUGCUGGCACGCAAAUUUCAUAUGCGCACUGAUGAAGUUAAAACAGCUCUUUUUAGAGCAUACUGCACUCUGCUUUACCAUGGCUACACCACAGGUGUGCUGUGUAAAGUGAAGAUGAAUAAGAUUAAAGUGGCAUAUAAUGAUGCUCGUAGAAUCUUGUUUAAAUACCCAAGAUGUAAACGUGCUAGCAAGGUGUUUGUGAACUUUAAUGCUCCCACUUUUCAGGCAUUACUUAGGAAUUAGAAAUGUAUAAAUGUAUGUGUCGGCUGAUUGAUUCAAGGAAUGGGAUUAUAAUAUCUUUGACUGACCCUACCCAAAGUGAGACAAGAUACUUCUCCAACUUCAAAUAGUGGACCCAACCCAUGUGUAUGUUUUUUAACCAUUGAGCACACGUUUAUUUAUGUGUAAUCUUAUGUUUGUCUGUUUAUUGUGUGUGUCUUUUAUAUCUGGACCUCGAGUCUGUCAAUAAAGAUAAUUAUUAUGAGAAUGUAGGUGAGCACACUGUGACAUUUUUGGGUGUUCAUUUUUGACAAUGUGGCUUGUGGAACAGUUCAGAAAAAUGGAUAUGUUUACCUUUCUUCAGAUAUUUUGCCUGUCACGUUAAUGGGACUUAAUGUGGUUUGACAUUUGAAAACCCACUGAGCCAAAGGUUUUUGUCUGAUUGGUUUCAGAGGCCUGUGGUGCACUGCAUUACACAAGGCACAAUUAAGCAGUGUUUAUGCAACAUUGAAAGGGAGAUUUAGGUUAAAUUUGGCUAUCAAUAAUAAUCAAUGAUUAUCAGGGAUAAUUAUUAAUGAUGACAAAUAAUAUGAUCCAAUUACAUUAGAUCACCUUGGGGCACCACCCUUGAAGAAGGGAAAACAUAGCAAAUUCACAAAAUCAGUUUCAGAAUAAGGUACUAAACUGUCAGUAUGUAACUCUGAUUAAUAAUUCAUUUAAUAACUAAAACCAAUACUACCAUAACAGGUGUAAUGAUCAAAGGAUUUUGGAGUUGUUGACAGUGUAGAGGUUGGCAACAUUCACUCUUAUACAACAUUAAAUAGACAGCAAGAAGGUUCAAAAGUCCUUAAUCAACACAAAGAUGAAAACACACAAACUAACUAACAUGUAGAGGUGGAUUUCAUUGUUCAAUGUCGAGAUUCAGUUCCCAACAGUCAGUAUAGCAAGAAGAAUUGUUCAUGUUGUUCGUCCAUUCAUUCAGUCGUGCUUCCGGUACAAUAUCGUUUAGCGGUGAAUCACGUAAUGCACAGUUCUCAGCUCCUUGUUCUCAAACCAACACGCUAACGGUCAACAUAACACUGUAGAUCAUGGCAAAUACAUAGCUGCAACCUCAUGAUUAUGUGUACUUUUAGACAACACAACAGUUAACAGCUAAUGCCUGCUAGCCAAGAAUGAGUGACUGACUGAACGAGAACGCCAGGAGAGGAAUCAGUGAAUGAACGAGGUUUGUGUGUGUGUUAAAAACAGUAAGGACAUCAAGUUAUGUCAACAAAUAGUCUGUACUUUAAUACUUUAAGAGGCAUACAGAAAAGAAUGAGAGGUUGGAUGCAAUUUUUAAUGUGAAAAGAGGCAUGAAAGAGCUCUCCUGGCUCACUGUUUGGGUUUUACAACAUUUUCAAAACCCAAUUUUGUUCGAAACCUAACUUUAAAGGAAUCAUUUAAGCAAUCACUGAAAGUGUGUACUACAUGAACAGAAAAAGUUUUGAGCUUUUAAGAGUUUUGAGCUAUCAAAUGAGCAUCUUUGUCCUAAAAGUAAUACAUCUAGUAUAUAUAUAUUUUGACACGACCAACUCCCUUACUGUAUACGUUAUAAGCUACAUUAUAUAACAUGAUAUCUAAAAUCUAAGUAUUAUAAGAAAUGAGAAAAAAUAAUAUCUUUUUGGCAUAAUAAUUAAAGAAAAACAAUGCACCAACAAUUAUAUAGACAGUAAAUGGCAGUAUUUCAUUA